UGUGUGUUAGUGGAAGCGUCUGGAAAGGCGCGCGAUACAGGGUGACAGCCCCGUACACAAAAAUGCACAUACUGUGAGCUCGAUGAGUAGGGCGGGACACGUGGUAUCCUGUCUGAAUAUGGGGGGACCAUCCUCCAAGGCUAAAUACUCCUGACUGACCGAUAGUGAACCAGUACCGUGAGGGAAAGGCGAAAAGAACCCCGGCGAGGGGAGUGAAAAAGAACCUGAAACCGUGUACGUACAAGCAGUGGGAGCACGCUUAGGCGUGUGACUGCGUACCUUUUGUAUAAUGGGUCAGCGACUUAUAUUCUGUAGCAAGGUUAACCGAAUAGGGGAGCCGAAGGGAAACCGAGUCUUAACUGGGCGUUAAGUUGCAGGGUAUAGACCCGAAACCCGGUGAUCUAGCCAUGGGCAGGUUGAAGGUUGGGUAACACUAACUGGAGGACCGAACCGACUAAUGUUGAAAAAUUAGCGGAUGACUUGUGGCUGGGGGUGAAAGGCCAAUCAAACCGGGAGAUAGCUGGUUCUCCCCGAAAGCUAUUUAGGUAGCGCCUCGUGAAUUCAUCUCCGGGGGUAGAGCACUGUUUCGGCAAGGGGGUCAUCCCGACUUACCAACCCGAUGCAAACUGCGAAUACCGGAGAAUGUUAUCACGGGAGACACACGGCGGGUGCUAACGUCCGUCGUGAAGAGGGAAACAACCCAGACCGCCAGCUAAGGUCCCAAAGUCAUGGUUAAGUGGGAAACGAUGUGGGAAGGCCCAGACAGCCAGGAUGUUGGCUUAGAAGCAGCCAUCAUUUAAAGAAAGCGUAAUAGCUCACUGGUCGAGUCGGCCUGCGCGGAAGAUGUAACGGGGCUAAACCAUG
rnacentral:rRNA from 1 species